rnacentral:lncRNA from 1 species
AUGCCGGGACCUCAGGGCCCAGCGGGACAAGUCGGCCUGCCUGGAUUGAAAGGUGAUAAGGGUGAAGUGGGACAAAGGGGGGAGCCUGGAGAGAUGGGGUACCAAGGUGAUAAGGGAGCUCUUGGUGCACCUGGACCUCCUGGGCCCAAAGGGAUGCCAGGACCAUCGGUAUGUCGAAUGUCUCUUUGCUUCCUUUAAUUCUUUAAUAUCUAUCUCUAGGAACAUCUUGCAGCACUUUGUUUCUAUGUUUACCCCCCAUCAGUUCUCAUAAAAACCUUCAACACAAAGAGACUUGGAAAUUCAAACCAAAGAUUUUAGUAAAAGGAUCAUAGCACACUUGGUCUAACGUCUUAUACACUCCUUAUCACCUUUUUUACAGUAUUCGGAGCCUACUUAGCUACAUUCAGGUGAAGAUGGGGCUCACUCUUUUCAUUGCAGGCCACACAGAGACAGACAACGCCAAACACAUUCACACAUAAGGGAUCACUUAGAAUCUUCAAUUAAGCAAUGAAGCAUGUUGUGGACUAUGGGAGGAAGGCAGAAUGCUCA